rnacentral:rRNA from 1 species
UACGUAGAUGGCGAGCGUUAUCCGGAUUUACUGGGCGUAAAGGGUCGCGCAGGUGGAAAGCCGCGUCAUACUUGAAAGGUUUCGGCUCAACUGAAACUGGUGGUGUGAUACGGGUUUUCUAGAGUAGUGCAGGGGCAAGCGGAACUUCCGGUGGAGCAGUGAAAUGCGUUGAUAUCGGAAGGAACACCAAAGGCGAAGGCAGCUUGCUGGGCACUUUCUGACACUUAGGCACGAAAGCGUGGGGAGCGAAACGG